GACGAACCGUGCAAACGUUGUUCGGAAUCACUGGGCGUAAAGGGCGCGUAGGCGGCUUUGUAAGUCGGGGGUGAAAGCCUGUGGCUCAACCACAGAAUUGCCUUCGAUACUGCAUGGCUUGAGACCGGAAGAGGUAAGUGGAACUGCGAGUGUAGAGGUGAAAUUCGUAGAGAUCCGGAAGAACACCGGAGGCGAAGGCGGCUUGCUGGGCGUGAUCUGACGCUGAGGCGCGAAAGCGUGGGGAGCGGACAGG
rnacentral:rRNA from 1 species